CACGUAGGGUGCGAGCGUUGUCCGGAAUUAUUGGGCGUAAAGAGCUCGUAGGUGUGUCGCGUCGGCCGUGAAAACCUGCAGCUUAACUGUGGGCUUGCGGUCGAUACGGGCAUCACUGGAGUUCGGCAGGGGAGACUGGAAUUCCUGGUGUAGCGGUGAAAUGCGCAGAUAUCAGGAGGAACACCGGUGGCGAAGGCGGGUCUCUGGGCCGAUACUGACGCUGAGGAGCGAAAGCGUGGGGAGCGAACAGG
rnacentral:rRNA from 1 species